GCCGUCGGCUCCUCUCAAAUGAAUCAGCUUCCCAGUGUUUGGUGGCGUCACGGGUGUGAUAAAUAUCUACGCUUGUGGUCGUCUGCCAGGUAACCUUCAGUGAUGGAGGUUUUGCUGGAGCUUACAAAUGUCUCUCCUCAGCGAAGACAGCUUCUUGAACGUUCGAUCUCAAAUCAGGUAGGACUACCCGCUGAACUUAA
rnacentral:misc_RNA from 1 species